rnacentral:rRNA from 1 species
AGUGGGGAAUAUUGCACAAUGGAGGAAACUCUGAUGCAGCAACGCCGCGUGGAGGAUGACGCAUUUCGGUGUGUAAACUCCUUUUAUAUAGGAAGAUAAUGACGGUACUAUAUGAAUAAGCACCGGCUAACUCCGUGCCAGCAGCCGCGGUAAUAUGGAGGGUGCAAGCGUUACUCGGAAUCACUGGGCGUAAAGCGCAUGCAGGCGGUUUAUUAAGUUGGAAGUGAAAUCCUAUGGCUCAACCAUAGAACUGCUUCCAAAACUGAUAAACUAGAGUCUGGGAGGGGAAGAUGGAAUUAGUAGUGUAGGGGUAAAAUCCGUAGAGAUUACUAGGAAUACCAAAAGCGAAGGCGAUCUUCUGGAACAGUACUGACGCUGAGAUGCGAAAGCGUGGGGAGCAAACAGGAUUAGAUACCCUGGUAGUCCACGCAGUAAACGAUGAAUGUUAGUCGUUGGGACUCUAGUAGUUUCAGUGAUGCAGUUAACACAUUAAACAUUCCGCCUGGGGAGUACGGUCGCAAGAUUAAAACUCAAAGGAAUAGACGGGGACCCGCACAAGUGGUGGAGCAUGUGGUUUAAUUCGAAGAUACGCGAAGAACCUUACCUAGCCUUGACAUACUACAGAAUUUGACAGAGAUGUUGAAGUGCCUUCGGGAGCUGUAAUACAGGUGCUGCACGGCUGUCGUCAGCUCGUGUCGUGAGAUGUUGGGUUAAGUCCCGCAACGAGCGCAACCCUCGUCCUUAGUUACUAACGGUUCGGCCGAGGACUCUAAGGAGACUGCCUUCGUAAGGAGGAGGAAGGUGAGGACGACGUCAAGUCAUCAUGGCCCUUACGGCUAGGGCAACACACGUGCUACAAUGGUUAGGACAAUGAGAAGCGAUACCGCGAGGUGGAGCAAAUCUAUAAACCUAAUCUCAGUUCGGAUAGCAGUCUGCAACUCGACUGCUUGAAGCUGGAAUCACUAGUAAUCGUAAAUCAGCUAUGUUACGGUGAAUACGU